rnacentral:rRNA from 1 species
GGUUGAUCCUGCCAGUAGUCAUAUGCUUGUCUCAAAGAUUAAGCCAUGCAUGUCUAAGUAUAAGCAAUUUAUACAGUGAAACUGCGAAUGGCUCAUUAAAUCAGUUAUCGUUUAUUUGAUAGUUUCUUUACUACAUGGAAUACCUGUGGUAAUUCUAGAGCUAAUACAUGCUUAAAAUCCCAACUCACGAAGGGAUGUAUUUAUUAGAUAAAAAAUCAAUGUCUUCGGACUUCUGAUGAUUCAUAAUAACUUUUCGAAUCGCAUGGCUUUAUGCUGGCGAUGGUUCAUUCAAA